rnacentral:misc_RNA from 1 species
UGCAGGAUCAACCAGGUAGCAUUCCUUAUAGACAUCGGGUCACAAGAUGUUAGACAUGCAUGCAACGCCAAAUGUCAUCCGAAUGGGGCGUGUAAUGCCGAUUUAGGGGCAAAUAGAGGUCGAAGACCCCAUACCCACAACGUGUUCUGCAUCCCGAAGGACUAGUAAAAUUCAAAUGCCGUAAUGACAACACGAUAUGUUUGCAAAACGGAACACGAAUCUCACUUUCAAGUUCUCCCGAAGCCGCAUCGUGUUAACAGGCAGCAUAGGGAAAACGGCUAAAAAAUUGGCUAAAAAAUUCCAUCAAUGUGGGUAUAUAACAUAGGAAACCGACAGCACGGACAAGGUUAAGAGUAGCUCUUGUGCCGACAAUUGAAAAGGAACGCACGGUAGGACGUCAUUGCCUAAGCAAGGAUCCCA